rnacentral:lncRNA from 1 species
GAAUCACGUUGCGCUGGUCACGCACCACCGUCGCCGUGAUGGUCCACAACGCAGCAGGCGUGUACCAAGUUGUGAAGUAGAUCCAUAUCGCUUCUGACAAUGUACUGGGAGUCCCUGUGAAUGCAGUGCUUCUAUUACAGACCGCGCGAGGUCGGCUCACAAUCGACUCCUGCAGGUGGCCCAUUGUCUCCCGUUGCGGCUUGUUCCA